rnacentral:rRNA from 1 species
CUGGCUCAGGACGAACGCUGGCGGCGUGCUUAACACAUGCAAGUCGAACGGAGCACCCCUGAAGGAGUUUUCGGACAACGGAUGGGAAUGCUUAGUGGCGGACUGGUGAGUAACGCGUGAGGAACCUGCCUUCCAGAGGGGGACAACAGUUGGAAACGACUGCUAAUACCGCAUGAUGCGUUGGAGCCGCAUGACUCCGACGUCAAAGAUUUAUCGCUGGAAGAUGGCCUCGCGUCUGAUUAGCUGGUUGGUGAGGUAACGGCCCACCAAGGCGACGAUCAGUAGCCGGACUGAGAGACUGAUCGGCCACAUUGGGACUGAGACACGGCCCAAACUCCUACGGGAGGCAGCAGUAGGGAAUCUUCCACAAUGGACGAAAGUCUGAUGGAGCAACGCCGCGUGAUCGAAUGAAGGCCUUCGGGUUGUAAAGAUCUGUUGACAGGGACGAAUAAGCAAUGCGAAUAGUUUUGUGUAUGACGGUACCUGUUUAGAAAGCUCCGGCUAACUACGUGCCAGCAGCCGCGGUAAUACGUAGGGAGCAAGCGUUGUCCGGAAUUACUGGGCGUAAAGGGCGCGUAGGUGGGCGCUUAAGUCAGGUGUGACAACUCCGGGCUCAACCUGGAGACUGCACUUGAAACUGGGUGUCUUGA